rnacentral:misc_RNA from 1 species
UUGAUUCAUUUGUAUUAUCUUCAGAAUUCCAAGUUCAAAAGAAUUUAAGGUUACCUUUGGCAGACACUCGCCAGUUCCGAAGAGGAACCGGCGACGGAAAACCCAUCGAUCCGCCAAAGCAACAAACAUGAUGUAAACACGGGAUGGGAGUAGGGACCGAAGUCCCAAACUCAGUAAUGAUCCUUCCGCAGGUUCACCUACGGAAA